CUCACACACUGUCACUGCCUCCCCUCCCCAUUGUCACUGUCAAAAUUAGGAAAACUGGCCACUCAGCAGAAUGUUACAUUUAGUUUUUGUGAAUAAUUAGUAGACUGCACAGACAAUGGCAGAUGAGAUUCAAUAUAAGAGAAAUAAACAUGAAGUAUAUACUCUAAAUGGUGUUGAAAUAGGGAUAAUGGUAAAUGAGAAGGACUCGGUAUAAUUACAGUCAACAGACUAGCAAAAAUGUUAGUCGGCAGCUGCCAAGGCCUAUACGGUACUGCAAUGUAUAAAAGAGGUAUUUAUUUGUGAGAUGAAAAUACAAUUUUACCUGUAUACAGAUAAAUGGUAAGAUCCAACUUUAUAUAUGGUUAGUGGUUUUAAAGAAUAUUAUGGAAGUGGAAAGAGUUUCUGGUUAAUAUUAAAGGAACGAUAUAGGGUCAGGAACACAAACAUGUAUUCAUGACCCUCUAGUGUUAAAACCACCAUUUAGGUAGCACCCCACUUCCUGAUUACAAAGGGUUAAAAUUCACAUUAUUUCCAGUGCCACAAGAGUCUGCAGGCACUAACCCUACUCCAGAUCAGCCUCUUUGGCUGACAUCAUCAGAAUUUAUGAUCUCAGCCAAUCCAAUGCUUUCCCAUAGGGAUCUUUAAUGAGGGUGGACAGGGCCAAACACUAGCCAGAUAGAUCAAUGCAUCUCUAUGGGGAAGGUUCAGUGUCACCAUACAGAGCCUUUAGUGGUCAUCUGAGGAGUGGCCACUGAAGGUGUCCCUAAGAUUUAAUUUAAACACUGCCUUUUCUUUGAAGUUUUUACAGAAAAAAAAACCUGCAGGGACAGGCUAUAGACACCAGAACAACUACAAUAAGCUGUAGUUGUUCUGGUGACUAUAGUGUCCCUUUAAUAAGGGGAAUGUAAGAACUUCUUAAGUUCUAAAAAAACAUCUCAUUGAAGAUGUAGACAUUCAUAACAUAAAUUAGUACAGGGAAAGUACAAACAACUCUCCAGUGACCUGAUCAUUAACAAGCGUGUACAAAUCACAAGUCAUCUACAGAUGAAAUGAGAUUGCACUUCAGCAGAGAAAAGCAUUUACUAGAAAAACAAGAUGUAGAUUUAUCUGCCUGAGGAGCUGUCUUUUUAUUGAAGUAAAACAAUAUAGUCAUGUCCAUUCAAUUUUAAUGGUUGGUUGCCUUGACUGACCAGAGAUGUCCAAGGGUUCAGAGUCAGCUGCUUAAAAUUGCAAAGGUCGUCUCCUAUAUAGGUCUGAUCACAACACACGAGAAACAGGAGUGUAGGUAUGUGUCAUUCGCUCUGCACCUUCUAAAGCAUUUCGGAAAGUUGGCUGGGUAUAAAUGGGCUAAAAUAACAAUUCAAGUGGACCAUGAAACAGAUCUCUUCCAGGGUACCAGGGUAUAGGCUGUAAGUUGAUGGGGGUGUUCAAAAAUAGUAUAUCAUUCCACUGUCUCUCCCCAGAUCUUUACAUUUAGACACAAAGAAUAGAUUUUGGAAAACAGUCAUUGCAAGCAAAUGGACACAUAUCAAGGAAAGCCUUCACGUCUUCUUUUGGAAUGCUAAUAUCCCUGUUGAAUAAAGUUGUGUGUAUGAUUUGAUACAGUACAGUAGAUGCAGACAGAUAAAAUGUACUGAAGAUGGUCAACUAUAGUUCUCUGUCUCUGGCAGGUAAUCUAAAUCAUAAACAUAUCCUUGAGGUGAAGAUGUUAAACUUGUGUCUGGAUCUUAAUCCGUCAGGAAAUACAGAAUUACAAAAGUAGGGAAAAAACUUGUGUUGGUACAGAAAAUAUAUUCAGUAACACACAUAUUCAAGAAACUAGUAAAAACAUUUCCUCAGAUGAGACAAUUGUGUUUCACAGUAAUUUAUUUCCAUGUUUUGCACACACAUACAUGGAUAAUAAAUACUGAUUAAAAAGCAGGGGAAAUCCAAACCCAUAUAUCAAUAUAUUAACCUGUUUCCUCUCAUACCAAUAUAUGAAAUCAGUGCAUUGGAUGCGCGUUUGAGUGUAACGGCAAAAAUGGGUUGUUCAGAUGUAAUAAUUCUUGUGUUUUCCUUUUGAAUGGAAGACAAAUGAGCAAAUGAAAACAAUGAAACAAAAAUUCUGUUAUUAUAUUUUUGGUCAGAAUGCAUUCCCUUCCAAGAGUUCAUCGAGAUAUUCCACAACAAGACCCU